rnacentral:lncRNA from 1 species
CUGUGUAUGGAGCAGCGCUUUAUAAGAUUCCUUAGGAGGAAUUUUCCACUAAGUGUCGCAGCACAUACGACCUUAGAUCGAUCUACGUAUGAAGCAGGGCUUUGUAAGAUUCUGACAGAUUGCUGCAUAAAAUGUUCAAAAAUAGGAAGUCCCUUUUUAUUGAUGUGAUUGACAUUACAAGGGGGCUUUAUAUAGGCUUUUCCCGUUCACUGAUAGUACUGCUUAAGGUGUUCGGUAUUCUAAGGAUGGGGUAACGGUCUACCCCCCAAGUCUUCUAAUUCAUAUGCCCAUUUUAGUAGGACCUUCAUCAUUAGAUAGGGACCUUCCCAAUUCGAACCCAGGCAUCCACUGCCAAUCUCUCUUGUGGAGAGGAAUACCUUUCGUAAGACGAGGGAUCCUACCGCAAAUUCUUUUUUUUGCACUUUUUGAUUUUAGUACUUGGAGUUCCACUGUUUGUAAACGGCAUUCUUGAGUUCGGCGUCGUUCCUUUUCUCCUCGGUUAGGUCGAGUUUCAUGCGACGAGCUAUGUGGUUCCUUUCUUCGUCGUAAUCAGUUAUUCACAGCAAGGGAAUGCUGACUUCUAG